AGCUAACGCUGGCGGCAGGCUUAACACAUGCAAGUCGAGCGCCCCGCAAGGGGAGCGGCAGACGGGUGAGUAACACGUGGGAACGUGCCCUUUGGUCUGGAACAACCCAGGGAAACUUGGGCUAAUACCGGAUACGUCCGUAAGGAGAAAGAUUUAUCGCCAAAGGAGCGGCCCGCGUCUGAUUAGCUAGUUGGUGAGGUAAUGGCUCACCAAGGCUACGAUCAGUAGCUGGUCUGAGAGGAUGAUCAGCCACAUUGGGACUGAGACACGGCCCAAACUCCUACGGGAGGCAGCAGUGGGGAAUAUUGGACAAUGGGCGCAAGCCUGAUCCAGCCAUGCCGCGUGAGUGAUGAAGGCCCUAGGGUUGUAAAGCUCUUUCGGCGGGGAAGAUAAUGACGGUACCCGCAGAAGAAGCCCCGGCUAACUUCGUGCCAGCAGCCGCGGUAAUACGAAGGGGGCUAGCGUUGCUCGGAAUCACUGGGCGUAAAGCGCACGUA
rnacentral:rRNA from 1 species